UGGUUCUGGCAUCGAUGAAGAACGCAGCGAAAUGCGAUAAGUAAUGUGAAUUGCAGAAUUCAGUGAAUCAUCGAAUCUUUGAACGCACAUUGCGCCCUGUGGUAUUCUGCAGGGCAUGCCUGUUCGAGCGUCAUUACAACCACUCAAGCUUGGCUUGGUAUUGGAGCCUGCGAGAUCGCAGCCCCUAAAAUCAGUGGCGGUGCCGGUUGGCUCUACGCGUAGUAAAUCUUUUCGCGACAGAGUUCCUUCCGGUAGCUCGCCAGAACCCUCUAUUUUUUUAGGUUGACCUCGGAUCAGGUAGGGAUACCCGCUGA
rnacentral:misc_RNA from 1 species